UCCCUUUCAACAGCCGUUUUACCCCUUUCAUCUGAUCAAAUCUUAUCACCAACUCGUCCUUCUCCAUCUCAGAAUCUCCACAACCGAAAUCUUGUGCUCUCGCCAUCAUCUAUGCCCUCAUCAUCCUUUUCUUCUUCUUUCUUCAUCUUUGCCCUCUUCAUUCUCGGCGUUCUUUCUUUCUCGGUCUUCCAUUUUCGUGCACUCAAAGGACAAAAACUAUUUAAGAUCUUCUUCAUUCCUUCCUUCAAUUUUCUUCUUCGUUUAUGCAAGAUCUACUUGAAUGGAUUGUAAAUAAUGGCUUUUUUCAAUGAUUAACAUAUUACACAAAUUUGGGGCUUUUUUCACUUGAUGGCAGAGGUAACAGGAUAGCAUGCAAAGAAAUUAAAGAGGUUUUGUAUUUUAGUUUAUGCUUUUGUAAUGCAUUGAGAAUUGAUAUAUAUUUCAUGUGUUUUCUUUUAAGUAUUGAAAUAGUUGUUUUGUAUUUUUCUGUAUUUUUAUUGAAUCUCUCAAUGUUUAAGUGGUAUUAGAAUUAAUUUAUAAAAUAAUUAUUUUCAUAUCAAAUCUUUAAUGGAUGGAGAAAUUAUUAGGGUUCAUGUUGAUUUUCAAUGGGAUAUGGUGAGAUUCAUGGUGUGGUCACAUUGUGGUGUGCUUGCUGAAUGAUGAGACUCAGAAAAUUAAAUACCUUCUAGGAAAUUGGUUUUGAGUGAUCGAAUAGUACCGAAUCAAUUUAUUUUGUUGGAUUCAAUUUGAUUAAAUUCUAAUAUAUUAUUUGACUUAAUUCUAAAAUAUAUGUAGUUUAAUUUUUCAGUUUAAGUUCAGACUCGAAUCAAACCAACAGAUUGAUCACUCUUAUCUAUUCUUUUAUUUUAUUCCUAUUUUAUUUCUUCAUUCUCUUCACCGAUCUCAAAAACCCUAAGAAAUUCAAAUCUUAACUCCACAAUUUUGCAAAUUUACAUCUAAUUUAUUUAUAAAAUUAAAUAGAUAUAUGUUGCUUCUCAAAUAAUAUAAAAUUUAUUUAUAAAAUUAAAUAGACAUAAAUGAUAGGUCUCAAAUAAUAUAAAAUUUAUUUAUAAAAUUAAAUAGACAUAAAUGAUAUUUUAAAACAACACUUAGUCUGUUUGUAAAUUAAAUGAAUAUAAAUGAAUUUAAAAAAAAAAAAAAGAAGAUGUGAUCUGAUUAUAAAAUUCAACAAAUACAAAUAACUUUAUAAAUAAACAUAGUUUAUAAAAUUAAAUGAAAACAAAUAAUUUCAUAAAUAGAUAUAUAAUCUAUUCAUAAAAUUAAUUGGAUACUAAUAAAUUCACAAAUAGGUAAUCAUUUUUAAAAUUUAAUAGAUACAAACAGUUGGAUUUUGAAAAUUUAAAUUGACACAAAUAACUUUACAAAUAGAUGUAUCAUUUAUUUAUAAAAUUAAAUGGACCAAAUAAAUUAAAUGGAUCAAAUAACUUAUGAAGUGAAUAUAUAAUUUAUUUAUAAAAUUAAUUAAAUGGAUAUAAAUAAAUUCACAAAAGACGUAUAAUUUGUUUGUAAAAUUAAAUAAACACAAAUAAAUUUAUAAAAAAAAACGUAUAAAAUUAAACACAAACAGAUUAAAAAAUAAAUGUAUAAUCUAUUUUAGAUUUUAAGGAAUACAAACAAAUCCACAAUCUGAUAUUUAAUUCAUUUAUAAAAAGAAUAUAUUUACUAAAUUAAGUAAAACUAUAAUAGUUACAAACAGGCAUAGACUGUUUUUAUUUUCCUAAAUUCUUGUAAUAUGCAUUCAACAAUAUUAUUGAAAGACACACAAAAUCAUCUUCAAUUUAUUCCAUACGGUGGAUAUAGAAUAGUCAAAAUAUAAAGAACUUCAGCAAUUUUCAGUUUGCAAAUAAUUUUCAAACUCCAGCGCUUGUUAUUCAUUUCAUUGAAUUUUUUAAGUCUAUAUAUUGUUGCGGUUCAUUGGAAAAGAAUUUAUUAUCCUUGUAAAAAAUUAUAAAAAAUAAAAAUAAUAAAGAAAGAUGGAAGGUUAAAAUAGUAAUUUUUUCUCCAUGAAGGUUGAAUAAAAUUUAUAUUUCCACGAUACAAUGCCUAAUUAUAAAAAUAUCACACUUUUUAUUUUAUUUCAAGAACUCAUCCUAAAAUAUAAAAAUAGAAGAAUUUAAAAAUUGAUAAAAAUAGAAGAAUUUAGAAAGAAACAAUAAUAAUAAUAAUAAUAAUAAUAAUAAUAAUAAUAAUAAUAAUAAUAAUAAUAAUAAAUGCACUUGAACAUUACUGUUGAUGCACCAAAGGACUGUGCAUCUCUAUUUUUUAAAAUAUUUAUUAUUAAAUAAUGAAAAAUAUGUAAAUUUAUAAUAUAAAAUGAGAAUGAAGGUGAGAAUUCAUAUAUUUAUGAUAUAUAUCUAUAAGUUUGAUCUAAAUAAGUUUUUUCUUGAAUAAUAUUAAAAUAUUUUAUAUCACAGCACUUUUAAUAGACUCUCAUAAGAAUUCUAUGGUACUUAUCGUUGAUGAUGCUUGAUAUGGGUCGGCGGUCCUAGCCUAAGCUCAAGGUCUAGCUCAAUCUGGGUCGUCUGUCGAUGGCUGAAUAGCAUAUAUGCAUCUUCUCUAGAUUCUGAUACAAGAGGAUUUAUUUCUUCAGAAUCUAGAUGAGGAAAAUCAACAGGUUUCAUGGACUUUGAAGUGUCCAAAGGAAGCAGGUUUUCAUCAGAG
rnacentral:lncRNA from 1 species